CCUACGGGGGGCAGCAGUGAGGAAUAUUGGUCAAUGGACGAGAGUCUGAACCAGCCAAGUAGCGUGAAGGAUGACUGCCCUAUGGGUUGUAAACUUCUUUUAUAUGGGAAUAAAACGUUCCACGUGUGGGAUUUUGUAUGUACCAUAUGAAUAAGGAUCGGCUAACUCCGUGCCAGCAGCCGCGGUAUUACGGAGGAUCAGAGCGUUAUCCGGAUUUAUUGGGUUUAAAGGGAGCGUAGGUGGAUUGUUAAGUCCGUUGUGAAAGUUUGCGGCUCAACCGUAAAAUUGAAGUUGAAACUGGCAGUCUUGAGUACAGUAGAGGUGGGCGGAAUUCGUGGUGUAGCGGUGAAAUGCUUAGAUAUCACGAAGAACUCCGAUUGCGAAGGCAGUUCACUGGACUGCAACUGACACUGAGGCUCGAAAGUGUGGGUAUCAAACAGGAUUAGAUACCCGAGUAGUC
rnacentral:rRNA from 1 species